CUCCCCGGGCCUGGAUGCUGAUGAAACAAAGGGCUCCAGUCAGAAUCUGCUGUCCCUUCCAACUCUGCUCUCUGCCUUUCUGGGUAUGGCCCAGACUCACACAAGCCUGUUAGUGCAAGAUCUCAUCACUGGAGGCCAAACUCACGAGACAUCCUCACCAUGGCACAGGCCUGAGGUUUUCAAGGUUGUGCUGGGCAGGGAUGGAGUCUCGCUCUGUCGCUCAGGCUGGAGUGCAGUGGCGCGAUCUCAGCUCAUUGAAACCUCUGCCUCCCGGAUUCAAGCGAUUCUCGUGCCUCAGCCUCCCAAGUAGCUGAGAUUACAGAUGCAUGCCACCACA